AGAGUUUGAUCCUGGCUCAGAUUGAACGCUGGCGGCAGGCUUAACACAUGCAAGUCGAGCGGAGAGAGGUAGCUUGCUACUGAUCUUAGCGGCGGACGGGUGAGUAAUGCUUAGGAAUCUGCCUAUUAGUGGGGGACAACAUUUCGAAAGGAAUGCUAAUACCGCAUACGUCCUACGGGAGAAAGCAGGGGAUCUUCGGACCUUGCGCUAAUAGAUGAGCCUAAGUCGGAUUAGCUAGUUGGUGGGGUAAAGGCCUACCAAGGCGACGAUCUGUAGCGGGUCUGAGAGGAUGAUCCGCCACACUGGGACUGAGACACGGCCCAGACCCCUACGGGAGGCAGCAGUGGGGAAUAUUGGACAAUGGGCGCAAGCCUGAUCCAGCCAUGCCGCGUGUGUGAAGAAGGCCUUAUGGUUGUAAAGCACUUUAAGCGAGGAGGAGGCUACUUUAGUUAAUGCCUAGAGAUAGUGGACGUUACUCGCAGAAUAAGCACCGGCUAACUCUGUGCCAGCAGCCGCGGUAAUACAGAGGGUGCAAGCGUUAAUCGGAUUUACUGGGCGUAAAGCGCGCGUAGGCGGCUAAUUAAGUCAAAUGCGAAAUCCCCGAGCUUAACUUGGGAAUUGCAUUCGAUACUGGUUAGCUAGAGUGUGGGAGAGGAUGGUAGAAUUCCAGGUGUAGCGGUGAAAUGCGUAGAGAUCUGGAGGAAUACCGAUGGCGAAGGCAGCCAUCUGGCCUAACACUGACGCUGAGGUGCGAAAGCAUGGGGAGCAAACAGGAUUAGAUACCCUGGUAGUCC
rnacentral:rRNA from 1 species